rnacentral:piRNA from 1 species
UAGAACCCAAUGUAUUCCAUUGCUUUU